AAGCACAUUUUGGUACAUAUAAUAAUGAAUUGGCACAAAAUUGAAGUUCUAAAGAACAAGCCAAUAAGAACUCAUUAGUGAAUUCCAAAAAUAGGUUUUCUAAGAGAUACUAAAAUUCAACACAUUAUUCUCUCCCUUUUUCAUUAAAUUAGAGGCUCUUAAGAUCAAUUUUUUUGAAUUGCAAUUUGGUUUAUGAUUUAUGCAUAAGAUAUAUUAACCAAAUAACAAGCCUCAAGGUGUAUCAUAAAGAUUUUCAGAUUUAAAUUUCAGAUGAUACAUAUUGGAGAGUAUUAGGAUCACUUUUCAUUUAGUAUUCUUUCUCUCUCCUUUAGUUAUAGAUUUAUGCGAUUAAGUUUCAUAAAAUCUCUCCUUCUGAGAUUUUCUUUCUUUCCCUCAAUUGAUCAUUUCAUUUAAGAGUUUAGAAUUUGAAGAUAAUGUUCAAUAAAAUUGUCAAUCUCGAAAAUAUAUUUUCUAUAAGUUUCAGCUUAUUUUCAUAAGACUCAAGGUUUGAGAUAAGACACCCUUUAUAGAACUCAUCUCAAGGUAUAAACUUAUUAUAUAAUUAAAGCAAGUCUUGCAAUAUAAGGAGGUUCAUCAACAUCAAUCCAUAACGUAUAGAAGAUAUUUAUCAAAUGGACAUGAUAUUUUGCAUUUAGAUUGAAUAUCCAAAGCUCCCCCUCAAA
rnacentral:lncRNA from 1 species